CCGCCGUCGCAUUGAGGUUGAGGUUAGGCGUAAUGUUGGCGGAUGGCAACGGUGCGAUCGUCGUCGUCGUCGGUGCUAGCGGGAGAGCUUACCGGCGCGCCCCGCCGGCCGGCCAGCCAGCCGGCACACCUUCUGCAAACAGGUCCGUGAGCGCGAUGUUGUGAAAUUGACGCAGGUCGCAAACACCGGAAAACUGAUGCUGGUGGUGAAAUUCGAUUGCCCCUUCCCGCCGCUCGUCGAAUAUCGGCGUAUAGGGGACUCACACCACGACAGAAGGCUGGUCCCAUCGGCCACCACAGCACAUGACGGGGAUUUCUUUUCGCAGGCCGGCUAGAAACCAAAAGCUGGAUGUUUUGUUGAUCGCCAGCACACCUGCGACCGAUCGUUGUUAAAGGGAAGGGCUACCGGCACGCUUCACUGAUCGGCCUCAUCCUUUUCGUUGGCACCUCUUCACCGGCCAGACACAUUAGCCCCCCCGCUAGCCUUCUGGCCGCACCACCAGAAACGCUUGCCGCGGUGUCUUUCGUCUCGAUCGUAAAACAUAAAUUACAACGCGCACUCAAGCCUUUCCAAUGGGAUUCAGGCCGCUCAUGAAAUAAUCAUUUGCGAAUUAAACAAACAA